GAUGAACGCUGGCGGCGUGCCUAAUACAUGCAAGUCGAGCGAACAGACGAGGAGCUUGCUCCUCUGACGUUAGCGGCGGACGGGUGAGUAACACGUGGAUAACCUACCUAUAAGACUGGGAUAACUUCGGGAAACCGGAGCUAAUACCGGAUAAUAUAUUGAACCGCAUGGUUCAAUAGUGAAAGACGGUUUUGCUGUCACUUAUAGAUGGAUCCGCGCCGCAUUAGCUAGUUGGUAAGGUAACGGCUUACCAAGGCAACGAUGCGUAGCCGACCUGAGAGGGUGAUCGGCCACACUGGAACUGAGACACGGUCCAGACGCCUACGGGAGGCAGCAGUAGGGAAUCUUCCGCAAUGGGCGAAAGCCUGACGGAGCAACGACGCGUGAGUGAUGAAGGUCUUCGGAUCGUAAAACUCUGUUAUUAGGGAAGAACAAAUGUGUAAGUAACUAUGCACGUCUUGACGGUACCUAAUCAGAAAGCCACGGCUAACUACGUG
rnacentral:rRNA from 1 species